UCUCUAUUCACCAACUAAUUCAACGAUUCAUCUCUUUUUCUUUCAUUUCAUUUUACGCAUUCUCUCUUUCAAACCAAAAUCGUGAAAAAUCAAAACCCUAAAAAUUCAACAUCGUGAAAAUCAACUACAUCCAUUGUGUUCGUGAGUGACAAACCAAUAUGUAAAAUCAAUUGUGUUCAUGUUUCUGAUUCACCGGUACGGAAGAUCGAUGGAACUCCAUUGCAAGCUGCUAGUGCUUCAACCAUCGGAGUUCUAAACCUCAAUCUCAAUCUUAUCUUCUUGUAAAAUCACUACACAGGAUUAUAUAGUCGAUAGAUGCAAGAGUAUUUAGAGAUUUACUUUGCAAUACUCCAUUGUUAAGCUCCUAGUUGGCUACUCUCGUUCUGCGCCACUUGAUCUGCAGCUCGCACCUCUCGCUCUACAUUACACAAUCCAGAACGCUCAUAAUCCUUUCCUGCUGUCCUCUCUUUCACUCAUCAGAAAAUGGAUCGUACUUGGAUGUACGAUAGGGUAUAUUCCAAUAGGCACGGAUUGAAACAAGAAUUUGUUCGUGGGGUUAAAGACUUUGUGAAGAGGGCUUUGAAACAACCCAUUUGUAAGUCUGAAGGAGGGAUAAGGUGUCCGUGUAUAAAAUGCAAGUGUCUCAAGAUAAGGACAGCAACUGAUGUUAGACUUCACUUGUAUCGAGAUGGAUUUCAACCAGAAUAUUGGAUUUGGACUCAACAUGGAGAAGUGGAGCUCAAUAUUGAUACAAGAGAUGGUUCAAAUAGUAGUGCGCAUAUGCGGCAUGACGACCAUUUUGAGGCAAUGAAUCAGAUGGUGUAUGAUGCUUUUAGGCCUU